AAGACUAUACUUUUAGGGAUCAUUUCUAUAGUUCUUUACUAGAAAACUUAUUUGGAAAAAAAAAUGGUGGUCCAGGAGAUGGCAUAGUGGA
rnacentral:snoRNA from 1 species